CCUCCUUUUCUUGGCAGAUCCAGGCGGUGCAGUGCCUGGGGAGGCAGAUGAGGGGGAUCCAUCCCUCCGUUGUUCUGUCUUCGGUGCCAGUGGCUUCCCAUCUGCUGGUUCUAUCCUCAAACUCCGGGACACGC
ensembl:snoRNA small nucleolar RNA SNORA57